rnacentral:rRNA from 1 species
GACGAACGCUGGCGGCGUGCCUAAUACAUGCAAGUUGAGCGAUGAAGAUUGGUGCUUGCACCAAUUUGAAGAGCAGCGAACGGGUGAGUAACGCGUGGGGAAUCUGCCUUUGAGCGGGGGACAACAUUUGGAAACGAAUGCUAAUACCGCAUAACAACUUUAAACAUAAGUUUUAAGUUUGAAAGAUGCAAUUGCAUCACUCAAAGAUGAUCCCGCGUUGUAUUAGCUAGUUGGUGAGGUAAAGGCUCACCAAGGCGAUGAUACAUAGCCGACCUGAGAGGGUGAGCGGCCACAUUGGGGCUGAGACACGGCCCAAACUCCUACGGGAGGCAGCAGUAGGGAAUCGUCGGCAAUGGACGAAAGUCUGACCGAGCAACGCCGCGUGAGUGAAGAAGGUUGUCGGAUCGUAAAACUCUGUUGGUAGAGAAGAACGUUGGUGAGAGUGGAAAGCUCAUCAAGUGACGGUAACUACCCAGAAAGGGACGGCUAACUACGUG